UACGUAGGCAGCAAGCGUUGUUCGGAGUUACUGGGCGUAAAGGGUGCGUAGGCGGUCCUAUAAGUAUGGUGUGAAAUCUCCCGGCUUAACUGGGAGGGUGCGCUAUAGACUGUGGGACUAGAGUGUGGGAGAGGAAAGUGGAAUUCCUGGUGUAGCGGUGAAAUGCGUAGAUAUCUGGAGGAACACCGGUGGCGAAGGCGGCAUCCUGGAUCAAUACUGACACUGAGGAGCGAAAGCCAGGGGAGCAAACGGG
rnacentral:rRNA from 1 species